rnacentral:rRNA from 1 species
UACAGGGGGUGCAAACGUUGCUCGGAAUUAUUGGGCGUAAAGCGCACGUAGGCGGUUGCUCAAGUCGGAUGUGAAAGCCCCUGGCUCAACCAGGGAAGUGCAUCCGAAACUGAGCAGCUAGAGUACGAAAGAGGGUCGCGGAAUUCCCAGUGUAGAGGUGAAAUUCGUAGAUAUUGGGAGGAACACCGGUGGCGAAGGCGGCGACCUGGGUCGAUACUGACGCUGAGGUGCGAAAGCGUGGGGAGCAAACAGG